rnacentral:rRNA from 1 species
UGCCAGCAGCCGCGGUAAUACGGAGGGGGUUAGCGUUGUUCGGAAUUACUGGGCGUAAAGCGCACGUAGGCGGAUUGGAAAGUAGGGGGUGAAAUCCCAGGGCUCAACCCUGGAACUGCCUCCUAAACUAUCAGUCUAGAGUUCGAGAGAGGUGAGUGGAAUUCCAAGUGUAGAGGUGAAAUUCGUAGAUAUUUGGAGGAACACCAGUGGCGAAGGCGGCUCACUGGCUCGAUACUGACACUGAGGAGCGAAAGCAUGGGUAGCGAAGAGGAUUAGAUA